GCGCCGCUUGCGCUCGUGGUCCAGGAUCUCGCGGUGCGCGCGCCUCACUAGGCCGGGCUCCGUGGCGCGCAGCUCCUCCUCCGCCCGCGGCCAGGCCCCCGACGAAGCGCCCGGCUGCGGAAAGCCGUUCGCCGCGUCGGGCGGGGACGGCAUGCUGGCCGCCCCGUUGUUCACUGUGGAGGACAUGGUGGCUGCUCCCGGAGCUGCUGGCCUCGGCCCUGCGGGGUAGACACAGACACCCGGCGGGAUGGUCACUUCUCGGCCACCUGCUAAGCUCCUCUCGGCGCGGGUUAAUCCUGGAGAUUUAAAGGACCGCUCACGGCUCUAAUCCGCUUCCCCUCAUGCUGCAGAGCCGGGCUGGUGGCAGUACCCGUUCUCCUGGCUCUGGCCCCUGGAGUCACAGACCACGUGUGCUCCCCCCUCCCAGGCUGCUCUGGGUCAGCCCUGCCGAGACGGGAAGAUGCAACCUUCUCCAGGCUCAACUCCAUUCCCACCUCAGAUGCAGUUUUCAGUUCCUACUUGGAUUUGGCUAACUUUCCCAAAGUCCAUUCCAGGGGACGCAGGUUCAAGCCCUGGUCCGGGAAGAUCCCACAUGCUGCAGAGCAACUAAUCCCAUGAGCCACAACUACUGAGCCCGUGUGCCACAACUACUGAAGCCCGCGUGCCUACAGCCCGUGCUCCGCAACAAGAGAAGCCACCGCAAUGAGAAGCCUG